rnacentral:misc_RNA from 1 species
GAUGAAGAACGCAGCGAAAUGCGAUAAGUAAUGUGAAUUGCAGAAUUCAGUGAAUCAUCGAAUCUUUGAACGCACAUUGCGCCCCCCAGUAUUCUGGCGGGCAUGCCUGUUCGAGCGUCAUUUCAACCAUCAAGCCCUGCUUGUGUUGGGGUCCUGCGGCUGCCCGCAGGCCCUGAAAACCAGUGGCGGGCUCGCUAGUCACACCGAGCGCAGUAGCACAUCUCGCUCAGGGCGUGCGGCGGGCUCCAGCCGUUAAAGCACCCACCUUUCGCAAGGUUGACCUCGGAUCCGGUAGGAAUACCCGCUGAACUUAAGCAUAUCAAUAAGCGGAGGA